rnacentral:misc_RNA from 1 species
GAUGAAGAACGUAGUGAAAUGCGAUAAGUAAUGUGAAUUGCAGAAUUCAGUGAAUCAUCGAAUCUUUGAACGCACAUUGCGCCCGCCAGUAUUCUGGCGGGCAUGCCUGUUCGAGCGUCAUUACAACCCUCAGGCCCCCGGGCCUGGCGUUGGGGAUCGGCGGAAGCCCCCUGCGGGCACAACGCCGUCCCCCAAAUACAGUGGCGGUCCCGCCGCAGCUUCCAUUGCGUAGUAGCUAACACCUCGCAACUGGAGAGCGGCGCGGCCACGCCGUAAAACACCCAACUUCUGAAUGUUGACCUCGAAUCAGGUAGGAAUACCCGCUGAACUUAAGCAUAUCAAUAAGCGGAGGGA